GAAUAAUCAGAAAUGCAUUUUGCAGCAUAUAGACUGGUUAAAUGUUUUACAAUCUAUCAGAUAUUGCU